CUUUUCUUUUUUUUUUUUUUUUUUUUUUUUUUUUUAGGAAAGUGAAGACCUGCUAUGGUGGCGGUGUUUUCUUUCCUUUUUUGAAUUUCCCACAAGAGGAGAGGGGAUUAAUAAUACAUCUGCAAAGAAAUCUCGGAGAAGAAAAGUUGACCGCGGCAGAAUGAGGCAUUGAUUGGGGGGGGUGGGGGGAGAGAACCCAGCAGAGAGCACAGUUGGAUUUGUGCCUGUGUUGACUAAAAUUGAUGGAUAAUUGCAGUUGGAUUUUUCUUCAUCAACCUCCCCCCCACCUUUUUUUUUUUUUUUUUUUCUUUUUGGUGUCAAGAUCAUGCGUUUUCGCUUGUUCUUAACCACCUGGAUUUCCAUCUGGAUGUUGCUGUGAUCUGUCUGAAAUACACUGAGAAACAGCCUUCGUGUUCCCAGCUUGACACCAGAGAUGACUCUCCUUGGGAUUCACUUCUCUUACUAUUUGAACUCCAGAAGGAC
rnacentral:lncRNA from 1 species